rnacentral:ncRNA from 2 species
ACAUGCUGCUGGGGGUGUCCGGCACGCGUGACCGCAUCCGAACGGGCUACCUGUCGAUCGACCGGUACCGAUCGCCUACUGGAUGCCGCCACGCCACGGGCUGAGAGAAACCCUUCGAACCUGAUCCGGAUCAUGCCGGCGCAGGAAAGCAGGCGACGAGGACG